rnacentral:lncRNA from 1 species
CACUAGUUGACACAUGUUGAGGUGAGGGCCGAUUUCAAGAGAAGUGUGACUAUUAUCUCAAAGUUCCAAGUUUGUGGUGAUUUGUGACUUUCAUUUGAGGCAUCCACAUUAUUAGUGCUAGGCUCUAAAACUCCAAGGAAUCAACUACAACUACAAGGUAAGUGUUUCUACUAGCUUUAUUUGAUUCAAGUUCCCCAUGCCAUACUAGUUAGGAUAUAAGCCUUGGAAAAAUAAUUAUUUGCAUGUAUCUUAGACAAACAUAGAUCCAAGGUUUAUUAGGGUUGCAUGUACACUUAGGAAGUGUUAGAAUGCUCAAAACCCAUCAGUGGUAUCAGAGCCUAGGCUUGUUUGUUUGUUAUUUGUGCUUAAAAGUUGAAGAAAGUCGAAAAUUCUGCUGUCUGACUGAUGGACUCGGCGAGUCCAUGGGGAGGACUCGUCGAGUUCAUGUGUAUCUUCAACCUACUCGGCGAGUAGGUUUAUGCACUCGGCGAGUAGGGUCGACAGAGUGCAGAAUUUCGACUUGAGUUGCUGGAAAUGGAUUAGAAUCAUUACCCUAAAAUGUUUUGGUACUUGAAAACUUAUUUUAGAAGGUGUAAUGUCUUUUCUAACUCAUUUACAACAACUAGUUAUCAAAAUUACAAAGAUUAAAUGUGAUUUUGAUUCUUGAAAGUGUUCAUAUUCAUAUUCUUGUUCUUAUGAUGUUUAGAUGAUCAUAGGAAUUAUUUGUAACCUAUGUGGUAGAUUAAUUCAUGAUCAUAAUGUGUUUUAAUGGAGUCCAUAACUUGUCCUCAAGUUAUGGAAAACCAAAAGUCUCUUGGAUUAAAAACCAUUAAAAGAACACAAGAGUUAGGAAAAAUGAAAAGUCCUCAUUUUAUUACUCUAUUAAACUCAUAAGUUACAAGAAAUGAAAAGUUUUGAAAGUUUACAAAACUUGCCCUCAAGUUUUGGAACAAGUAAAGUUAAGUUAAAACUUUAGUUCCAACCCCUAGAAUUUUAAAAGUUAAAAUUCAACCCUUAUACUUAUAUUAUUAUGAUUUAAUAAUUAUAUAUAUAUGUAUAAGAACAAAGUCGUCUUACCGCUAGUACGCCUCAUUCACGAAGCCGGUCUAUAAGGUGGGUAUAAGGUUGUUGCCUAUAAAAUGGUGACUUAAUGGGUGUCCACUCUCACCCACCGCUUGCUUGAUCGGUGGAGGGUCGUUAGCCGAACGGGUAAGACAAGGACUUAUUAAUUCUCAUUCAAAGUAUGAUGAAUAUUAUAAAGUAACUAAAUGUUUUAUUAAAUUCCCAAUCUUAGUUACUUUAGGAAAAAUGUGAAUAAGGUGCUAUUCCAUGAAAUUACACUUUACACUUUGAUUAAGUCGUUGGUGGAGCGUGUGUGGUUAACCGGCACACUAACUUGGACUUAACAAGGUAGGUAAAGGGUGACUUAGGGUUUAUUAUAGUAUCGAUGGAGCGUGUGUGGUUAACCGGCACAUCGAUUGAGUGAUAAACUUUAAGGGUACCAAGUGAUUUGCAUGGUUACUUCACACCUCGUUUUGUGAUCCUCGGUAUCCCAGUCACAAAACUUGGAGGGCACACUCGAGAUUGAAACAUGCCUUUGAAAAGUUCAUUGAAUCUCAAAGAAUCUAGGAAUUUCUAAGAACCAUUCAAAAACCUAAUACUAAAAUAUUGCGGUUUUCGUGGUGGAAAUUGGUGAAUCGUCAUUCACCUACCUUUCAAAUAUGAUAUAGCUUAGAUUACGGCAUACCUCUUCUAAGUUAUAUUAUAUUGUGAUUGGAUCCUAGCCUUAAUAUUACAUUUGGGUGUUUUAUUAAGGACUCUCUUAUAUCUAAACUAAUCUUGUCCUCUUUCCUUCAGAUGUCUUUCAACAAUGCUUCUGGCUCUAAUCCUAAUGGCUCCUUUACCCUUAUGAACUUGUGUGGGAAAGUCACCUUUGAUGGAUCCAACUUCAAUGAGUGGAUCAGAAACAUCAGGAUGAUUACCCGCUACGAGGACAAAGAAUAUGUCCUUGACAAGGAGCUUAAGGAGAUUGAUGAGUCCACUGCAACUCCUCAGGAGAUCGCUGAAUUUCGGGCACAUGAAAGGGAUGCUACGAAAGUGGCUUGCAUCAUGAUGGCCACGAUGACAGCGGAACUCCAAAAGUCUUAUGAGGAUUUCUACCCUUAUGACAUGCACCAAGAUUUGAUGGAAAGAUACCAUCAAAGUGCAAGACAAGAGAGGUAUGAAAUCAUCUGCUCCAUGAUAACAACCAUGAUGAAGGACGGGGAAUCCGUCACGAGCCACAUGCAGAAAAUGCAAAGGUAUGUGGAUCGUUUGCUGAAGCUUAAUGUGAACUUCCCGGAGGAUCUUGCAAUAGAUAUUAUUUUGCAUUCCUUACCAUCGUGCUAUGAUCAAUUCCGCAUGACAUAUCACAUGAACAAGGAAGAAGUCACCCUCAGCAAACUUCAGGGACUUCUCAAGACCGCAGAAACAGGUCUUAAGGGGAAGUCGGUUGCUAUCACUCCUACUCAAAACUCUACUCCGGUUUUGGCAAUCGGGAAAAGUCGAGGGAGGAAGAGAAAGAGCUCUUCUAAGGGUACCAAGGCUCGGACCCUUGAUGGCUCUUCUUCAAGUGGAACCAAGAAAGGUUUCGUUACUCCUUCUUCUGACCCAAAAGAGGCUGAAUGCUUCUAUUGCCAUGAAAAAGCUCAUUGGAAGCGGAACUGCCCAAAAUACCAGCAAGAUGUGAAGGAUGGGAAAGUUAAACCCAACCAUGCAGGUAUUUACACUAUCAUUUCUAAUAACUCACCCCAUUCUAAUUCUUGGGUCCUUGAUACCGGGUGUGGUAUUCACAUUUGUUGUGACUUGCAGGGACUAAGAAGAAGUGAGGAUGUGGAGCAAGGAAGGAUAAACUUGAUCAUGGGGAAUAGGAAAGCUAUACCUGUUACCAAGAUUGGAGUUUAUACUUUAUCGCUAAGUAGUGGGUUUAGUUUAGAUUUGAAUAAGUGUUGUUAUUCGCCAGGAAUGGCAAGAAAUAUUAUUUCCUUUCAUGCUUUGUACAAACAAGGGUUUACCUUUUCAUUUAAUAAUGAAGUUGGUUCUAUAGAUGUUUUCUAUAAUAAUGUCUUUUAUUUUAAAGCAUUACCUUGUGAUGGUGUGUAUGAAGCUGUAUCUGUUGUAGAUAACUUGGGAAAUAAUGUUUUGUGUAUUGAUUCUACUAAUAAUAACUUGGAUAAAGCAUCUUUAUGGCAUUGUCGUCUUGGACAUAUAAGCAAGAAACGCAUAGGCCAACUCCAAAAGGAUGGAGUCUUGGAGUCGUUUGACCUAAAGUCAGAUGAUAGUUGCGAAUCAUGCUUACUUGGAAAAAUGACAAAGUCACCCUUCACAGGUUCGUGUGAGAGGGGUGAAGGUUUGUUGGACCUUAUACACACGGAUGUGUGUGGACCAUUCAAACAUGCCACAAGGGAUGCUAAUCGUUAUUAUUUGACUUUUACUGAUGAUUAUAGUAGAUAUGGAUAUGUCUACUUGAUCAAGCAUAAGUCAGAGACUUUCGAGAGGUUUAAGGAAUUUAAACAGGAAGUCGAGAAUCAAUUGGGCAGGAACAUUAAGAUGCUUCGAUCCGAUCGUGGUGGUGAGUAUCUUAGUUCAGAGUUCCUCGACUAUCUAAGGGAAUGUGGGAUAGUCUCACAAUUGACACCUCCCAGGACACCACAGUUGAAUGGUGUGGCUGAGAGGCGUAAUCGAACCUUGUUAGAUAUGGUUCGUUCCAUGAUGAGUCGAGCUACGCUACCAAUCUCAUUCUGGGGGUAUGCCUUAGAGACUGCCGCCCAUAUUCUUAAUCUAGUCCCUACAAAGAAAGUUGCCAAAACUCCUCACGAGAUGUGGACUGGUAAAGUACCUAAACUAGACCACAUCAAGAUUUGGGGUUGCGAGGCUUUCGUGAGACGCGAGACUCAUGAUAAGCUCGAACCUCGAAGCGAGAGGUGUAUUUUCAUCGGCUACCCACAGCAAUCCUUUGGUUACCUCUUCUACAGACCUAGUGACAAUGUGGUCUUUGUAGCAAGAAGAGGAGUCUUUCGAGAGAGAGAAUUUAUAAGCCAAGGAGACAGUGGGAGGCAAAUUGAUCUUGAAGAAAUUCAAGAAUCAAGCGGUGAAGGAACUUCAAACACUAGCCCUCAACUUGAGGAGGAAACUCCUGUUGAGCCAGUUGAUGAGCCUGUACCUCUGAGGCGUUCCACGAGAGUUAGGAAUGCACCUGAGCAUUACUAUGGUUUCCAUAUUACUGCGGAAGGUGAGACACUUAUUAGUGAUGAGACACUAGUAGGUCUGGAUGAACCUAACAGCUACACGGAAGCCAUGGCAGGCCCUGAGGCUGCUAAAUGGAAAGAGGCCAUGGAUAGCGAGAUACAAUCCAUGUAUGACAAUCAAGUUUGGAACUUGGUUGAGAAUGUACCUGGUCGUAAGACUGUAGGGUGCAAAUGGAUCUUCAAGAAGAAGACCGACAUGGAUGGUAAUGUACACACUUAUAAGGCACGACUGGUUGCAAAGGGUUAUUCUCAAACUCCGGGAGUUGAUUAUGAUGAGACCUUUUCUCCAGUGGCCAAGAUUAAGUCUAUUAGGGUUCUGUUAGCCAUAGCUGCAUUUCAUGACUAUGAAAUAUGGCAAAUGGAUGUCAAAACCGCUUUCCUUAAUGGAAAGUUGGCUGAGGAUGUUUACAUGGUUCAGCCAGAGGGUUUUGUCAGUACAGAGUACCCCAAUAGAGUGUGUAAACUCGAGAAAUCCAUUUAUGGAUUGAAACAGGCACCUCGCAGGUGGAAUCUUUGCUUUGAUGAGAAAGUCAAGGAAUUUGGCUUUUCAAGGAGUGAAGAUGAAUCUUGCGUCUAUAUCAAGGCUAGUGGGAGCAUAGUCAGUUUUUUGGUACUGUAUGUGGAUGACAUACUACUCAUAGGAAAUGACAUCCCAACCCUGCAGGAAGUAAAGUCCUGGCUUGGGAAGUGUUUCGCUAUGAAGGACCUUGGUGAAGCUGCCUAUAUCCUAGGGAUAAAGAUUUUGAGAAACAGGAGUAAAAGACUAAUUGGACUUAGUCAAAGUACCUACUUGGACAAAGUGUUGAAAAGAUUCAACAUGCAUAACUCCAAGAAAGGUGAGUUACCCAUUCAGAGUAACGCCAGAUUGAGUAAGACACAAAGCCCUAGUACUGAGGCUGAGAUAGCAGAAAUGAGUCGACUACCUUAUGCUUCAGCUGUAGGAUCGAUCAUGUAUGCUAUGACGUGUACUCGACCUGAUGUAGCCUUUGCUUUGAGCAUGGUUAGCAGGUAUCAGGGGAACCCUGGCAAGGAACACUGGACUGCGGUAAAGAAUAUCCUCAAGUACCUGCGAAGGACUAAGGACUGGGUCCUUACCCUCGGUGGGAGUGAUGACUUGAGAGUUGUAGGGUAUAGUGAUGCUAGCUUCCAGACUGAUAGGGAUAAUUUCCGCUCUCAGUCAGGCUGGGUCUUUACCCUAAACGGAGGAGCAAUUUCUUGGAAGAGUUCCAAGCAGGAGACAGUGGCUGAUUCCACUUGUGAAUCAGAGUAUAUAGCAGCAAGCGAGGCAGCAAAGGAGGCGAUAUGGCUAAAGAACUUCAUCGGAGACCUUGGAGUUGUACCAGCUAUAAAAGAGCCAAUGGAGAUUUUCUGUGACAGCAAUAGUGCGGUUGCCUUAGCCAAGGAACCAAGGGAUCACGGGAGAUCCAGACACAUCGACAGAAAAUACCAUUUUAUCAGACAUCGAAUUGAAGAAGGACUCCUCAUGGCGAAGAGGGUAUCAUCGGAUGAGAACCCGGCAGAUCCCCUCACGAAGGGACUGAGUAGGGUUAAGCAUCUCCAGCAUGCUCGGAGCAUAGGGCUGAAGGAUGAUAUAAGUUUUAGUAGUUAGAUAACCCAGAAAUUUGUAAAGUGUAAUUGACAUUUGAUGAUGAAUAAAAGGUGUUUUAUUUAUGAGUAAAGUGUUGCUAUCUCUUGUCGAUCGUUUACUAUAUUUCUUUUGCAUGUUUUGACUUCCAGAAUAAUUUUGUUUGGUAUAACAUAUUAUUCAAACCUCCACAGUCGGUCAUAUGUCGGAAGUAGGUAUGAAUCAAGACUGUCAUGAUUGGUUGCAGAGGUCUAAGGUGUUGGACAAGGCUACAACAAUCAUGAGUGCUCAUAAGUUCUGAGCAUUGGACUCAACCCACGCUCACUGGAAUCACUUCAUGGAAUUUUAUCUCGAGUGAUCGUGAGACGGUAAUAUCAUAUAAGUCUUCAAACCUAGAGAUAUGAUUUGUUACUUACGAGUUGGUUAUGCAUUGAUUGUACGUAAACGCAUUGGUAACUCGAUGUUAUAAAACGUGCUUUUGUGUGUAAUUCAAUGAGUGGUAGAACAAACAUAUGAGUCGAAGUUUAUCUGUUCCUUCUUGGAUUAGAAGCUGAUAUCUGGGCCCCUCGAUGAUUUUGUUUUGACCUAUGUACCGGGCCCGGUCAGAACUAAAUUGAUGUGUUCAGUUGAGUUCUAUGUCAAACAAAUCGGAAAUCGGGAAACAAAUGCUGGACAAUAAGCAAGACAAUGUUCCAUGUAUUUGUCCGGCUGAUAUCUAGAACAGAGGAUUAUAUGAUCACUUAUCUAAAUGGCACGUUCUAGUUCAACAGAGUUUAAAGAGCUACGAUUGCUGAUCGGUUCCUGAAGUUAUACUUGCAAAUAUAGUUACUAGACUUAUCCAAGUGGGAGACUGUUGGAUAUAGUGUCUAAGUCCAUAACUAUAUUUGGUAUGUACUUGACCCGACCCGGCAUGGUCCAUUUGGGUUGCACUUCACCCGAACAAUUAUUGGAUAAUAUUUGAGAAUAGUACAAGUUAUGAUUUAUUAAUAUAUUAUAAGUUCUAAUAUAUUAAUAUAAAAUCAUAUUAUUUAAUUAGUAGUGAUCUAUAAUUAAUCUAGGAUUAAUUUAGUGAUCAAAGAUAUUACUAAUUAAAUAUGGGCUUCUAUAUUUAUAUAGUGUGGGCUUAUGCUUAUUUGGAAUGGGCUAGGCUUGGAUGGAGAAGUCCAUGGAUACUCCAUGGAGCUUUAACCCAUGGAUCUCAUGGAAAUGAAGAGACAUGGGUAUUAGGGUUUACAUGGAUGUAACCCUAAUCCACCACACUAUAUAAAGGAGGCUUUGGCUCUUGAAAUCAAACUAGUUGACACAUGUUGAGGUGAGGGCCGAUUUCAAGAGAAGUGUGACUAUUCUCUCAAAGUUCCAAGUUUGUGGUGAUUUGUGACUUUCAUUUGAGGCAUCCACAUUAUUGGUGCUAGGCUCUAAAACUAUAAGGAAUCCACUACAACUACAAGGUAAGUGUUUCUACUAGCUUUAUUUGAUUCAAGUUCCCCAUGCCAUGCUAGUUAGGAUAUAAGCCUUGGAAAAAUAAUUAUUUGCAUGUAUCUUAGACAAACAUAGAUCCAAGGUUUAUUAGGGUUGCAUGUACACUUAGGAAGUGUUAGAAUGCUCAAAACCCAUCAAU